rnacentral:rRNA from 1 species
UUGCUUCUUAUGAAGUUAGCGGCGGACGGGUGAGUAACACGUGGGUAACCUGCCCAUAAGACUGGGAUAACUCCGGGAAACCGGGGCUAAUACCGGAUAACAUUUUGCACCGCAUGGUGCGAAAUUGAAAGGCGGCUUCGGCUGUCACUUAUGGAUGGACCCGCGUCGCAUUAGCUAGUUGGUGAGGUAACGGCUCACCAAGGCAACGAUGCGUAGCCAACCUGAGAGGGUGAUCGGCCACACUGGGACUGAGACACGGCCCAGACUCCUACGGGAGGCAGCAGUAGGGAAUCUUCCGCAAUGGACGAAAGUCUGACGGAGCAACGCCGCGUGAGUGAUGAAGGCUUUCGGGUCGUAAAACUCUGUUGUUAGGGAAGAACAAGUGCUAGUUGAAUAAGCUGGCACCUUGACGGUACCUAACCAGAAAGCCACGGCUAACUACGUGCCAGCAGCCGCGGUAAUACGUAGGUGGCAAGCGUUAUCCGGAAUUAUUGGGCGUAAAGCGCGCGCAGGUGGUUUCUUAAGUCUGAUGUGAAAGCCCACGGCUCAACCGUGGAGGGUCAUUGGAAACUGGGAGACUUGAGUGCAGAAGAGGAUAGUGGAAUUCCAUGUGUAGCGGUGAAAUGCGUAAAGAUAUGGAGGAACACCAGUGGCGAAGGCGACUUUCUGGUCUGUAACUGACACUGAGGCGCGAAAGCGUGGGGAGCA